rnacentral:tRNA from 1 species
GCCCCUUUAGCUCAAUUUGGCAGAGCAGCUGACUCUUAAUCAGCGGGUUGUAGGUUCGAGUCCUACAAGGGGCA